UACGGAGACUGCAAGCGUUAUUCGGAUUCACUGGGCGUAAAGGGUGCGCAGGCGGUUGGGUGUGUCAGAUGUGAAAUCCCGAGGCUUAACCUCGGAACUGCGUCUGAAACUACUCGACUAGAGUACUGGAGAGGGAAACGGAAUUCACGGUGUAGCAGUGAAAUGCGUAGAUAUCGUGAGGAACACCAGAGGCGAAGGCGGUUUCCUGGACAGUUACUGACGCUCAGGCACGAAAGCAUGGGGAGCAAAAGGG
rnacentral:rRNA from 1 species